rnacentral:rRNA from 1 species
AUGGCAGAAGAGGAUGAGGAAAAAACCGCAUUUAUCACCCCUUGCGGCACAUACUGUUUUGUACGGAUGCCCUUUGGGUUGAAGAAUGCUGGUUCAACAUUUGCAAGGGUAGUCCAUGUCGCUUUUGAGCCACAGAUACACAGAAAUGUGGAAGCCUACAUGGAUGAUAUAGUGGUCAAGAGCAAGGACAAGGCUACCCUGAUCCAAGAUUUAGAAGAAACUUUUGCAAAUCUGCGCAAGAUCAACCUCAAGCUCAACCCCGAGAAGUGCGUGUUUGGAGUCCCUUCUGGCAAGCUUCUCGGGUUCUUUGUGUCUCAGCGGGGAAUUGAAGCCAACCCCGACAAGAUCAAGGCCAUCGAGCAGAUUGAAGCACCGAAGCAUGUCAAGGAUGUGCGAAGGCUUGCCGGUUGCGUGGCUGCUCUCAGCAGGUUUAUCUCUAAGCCUGCUGAGCGCGCCCUGCCAUUUUUCAAAAUAUUGAAAAAGGCAUGUCCAAUGAAAUGGACUCCGGAAGCGGAGGAUGCGCUGCAGGACUUGAAGAGGUACCUGUCCUCCACUCCAAUACUUGUCGCACCUAAGCAACAAGAGAAGUUGCUGCUAUAUCUGGCAGCAACCAAUCAAGUGGUUAGUGCUGCGUUAGUAGCGGAGAGGGAGGCGGACGAUGAGCCAGCAACCGCGGCAAGUGAAUCCAGCGACAAGCAGGGGGCUUCUCCGACAAGCUCUGGUCCCGACAAAGAUGAAUCUGCACAGACGUGCAAGGAGGUGCAGAAGAAGAUGGUGCAGCGCCCAGUUUACUUUGUCAGCUCCCUUCUCCAGGGGGCUAGGUCGAGGUACUCUGGUGUGCAAAAAUUGCUUUUCGGCCUUCUCAUGACCUCGAGAAAGAUGCGCCAUUACUUCCAGGCACACGAGAUCACAGUUGUCACUCGCUUUCCGCUGAAGAGGAUACUGCAGAAUCCAGAAGCAACAGGCAGGAUUGUCGAGUGGGCAUUGGAACUGUCAAGCUUUGGCCUCAAGUUUGAGAGCACUGCAACGAUCCAAAGCAGGGCAUUGGCAGAGUUCAUAGCAGAGUGGACGCCAACCCCAGACGAAGAAAUUCCAGAGACGAGCAUCCCCAUCAAGGAGACAAGCAAAGAGUGGCUGAUGUACUUUGAUGGUGCCUUCUCGCUGCAAGGCGCCGGUGCUGGUGUGCUGCUUAUCGCACCCACCGGAGAGCACCUCAAGUACGUAGUCCAGAUGCACUUUCCCAAGGAGCAAGCAACGAACAAUACUGCAGAGUAUGAGGGUUUGCUCGCCGGCCUCAGAAUCGCAGCCGACCUUGGGAUCAAGAAACUCAUUGUAAGGGGUGACUCGCAGCUUGUCGUCCGCCAAGUGAACAAGAACUACCAGAGUCCAUUGAUGGAAGCUUAUGUUGAUGAAGUGAGAAAGCUAGAAGAACACUUUGACGGCCUGCAAAUGGAGCAUGUUCCGCGAGCUCAGAAUGACAUUGCUGAUGGCCUGUCAAAGUGCGCUACACUAAAGUUGCCUGUGGAACCAGGGAUCUUUGUGCUCAAGCUGACUCAACCAUCCGUGACACCGUCGACUGGACAGAGCAAGAAGAGGAAGUUGGUUUCUGGUGACUACUUUCCGGCAGAGCUCCCCGAAGCCGCCGCCAAGAAAGUCCCCAAGAUCAACACCAAAGAUGCUGAGGGGCAGUCUGCUCCGGCAAGCCUUAUGGUUUGUUCCGUUGAAGCAGACGCUCCCGACAAGUUUUGCUCCGGCAAGCUUGCCGGGGAAUAUCACGCUCCGGCCGAACCGCAGGUUCUUGCCGUAGAAGCGGAUGUUCCCACAGCAACAGAUAUGCCUUUAGCUCUUGUUGUCGAGCCGCAAGCUCCAACAUGGGCGCAGCAGAUUGUCCUUUUCCUUCAGACAGGAGAGCUUCCCGAAGAGCAAGAAGAAGCGGAAAGAGUAGCCCGGCAGUCAAGUAUGUACAAGUUUGUCGACAACACACUGUACAGAAUAAGACUCAAGGGUGUGAAAUUGAAGUGCAUUCGCCGGGAAGAUGGACAACAGCUGUUGGCAGAGAUACAUGGAGGCAUAUGUGGUCACCACAUUGGCGCAAGAGCACUUGCCGGCAAAGCAUUCCGACAAGGUUUCUUCUGGCCGACAGCCCUCCAGGAUGCAACUGCACAAGUAACCAAGUGUGAAGCGUGCCAGUUCCAUUCCAAACAGAUACACCAGCCAGCUCAAGCUCUCCAGACGAUCCCUUUAUCCUGGCCAUUUUCGGUCUGGGAGAUCGACAUCCUCGGCCCCUUUCCCCGAGCUGUCAGGGGCUUUGAGUUCUUGUACGUCGCCAUCGACAAGUUCACAAAGUGGCCGGAAGUGGAACCAGUGAGGAAGGUGACACACAGUCAGCAGUCAAGUUCUUCAGGUCGAUUGUUUGCCGUUUUGGGAUCCCUAACAGGAUCAUCACCGACAACGGCACGCAAUUUACGAGCCGCACCUUCAUGCAGUACGUCCAAGAUCUUGGCGCCAAGGUCUGCUUCGCUUCUGUUGCUCAUCCGAGAAGCAACGGUCAAGCGGAGAGGGCAAAUGCUGAAGUGCUGCGAGGCCUCAAGACCAGAACUUUCGACAGGCUGCACAAGUGCGGAAGAAACUGGAUCGAGGAGCUGCCGGUGGUUCUUUGGUCGAUCAGGAUGA